UACGGAAGGCAGCAGUGGGGAAUAUUGCACAAUGGGCGCAAGCCUGAUGCAGCCAUGCCGCGUGUAUGAAGAAGGCCUUCGGGUUGUAAAGUACUUUCAGUCGUGAGGAAGGUGUUAAGGUUAAUAACCUUAGCAAUUGACGUUAGCGACAGAAGAAGCACCGGCUAACUCCGUGCCAGCAGCCGCGGUAAUACGGAGGGUGCGAGCGUUAAUCGGAAUUACUGGGCGUAAAGGGCACGCAGGCGGUUAAUUAAGUUGGAUGUGAAAUCCCCGGGCUUAACCUGGGAAUGGCAUUCAAGACUGGUUAGCUAGAGUCUUGUAGAGGGGGUAGAAUUCCAUGUGUAGCGGUGAAAUGCGUAGAGAUGUGGAGGAAUACCGGUGGCGAAGGCGGCCCCUGGACAAAGGCUGACGCUCAUGUGCGAAAGCGUGGGGAGCAAACAGGAUUAGUACC
rnacentral:rRNA from 1 species